GUUACAUUUACACUUGAAUCAUGUGGCCGAUGGUCUGAUACGGAGUGAUUUAUGAGUGCAACAGGAACACAACUUAUUCUGUUUUAUUUGAUCAAAUAUAAGAAAUUAACAGGAUGUUAUUUUAUCUUUAUUACAAGCCUUCAUUCUUAUUCUUUUAUCAUUUCUCCCCUCUCUAUCCUCCAGUGGGCAUCGUGCGGCCCACCCUGACCGUCCUCCCCCCCUCCAGAGAGGAGCUGCAGCAGGGCACAGCCACACUGGUGUGUCUGGCCAGCGGGGGCUUCCCCUCAGCCUGGAGUCUGGGCUGGAAGGUGGGGGGCUGCAGCAGCUCCUCAGGGGUGUCACGCAGCCUGGAGGUCCUGGGGAGUGACGGCCACUACAGCUGGAGCAGCACCAUGAGCCUCCCUGCAAACCAGUGGAGGAAGGCGAGCUCAGUGAGCUGUGAGGCCAGUCUGAAUGGACAGAGCCCUGUCACUCAAACCCUGGACCCUGACCUCUGCUCAGAGUAGAGCUUCAGCAACACUUCCUGUGUGGAAAUGAAGCUGCUUCUUUGAUAGAGAUCUGGAUGAAGCUACAGAUCUCCUCUGUUUCACAGCUCUCUACUCAGUGUUUUAGUGUGUAUGUUGCUUUCUGAUACUGAUCUUCUGCAUAUUCUUCUUCACUUUUCAUAUUAAACUGAAUUAUAGAUUAGUUUUCACUCCAAGAUGAACUGGUGAUUAAUCAAAGAUGUGACAUGGACAUUAAACUAUAAAUAAAACUGUGGAUUAUAAUGAUUCAGUGUCUUUGCAUUCAUUUUAUAAUACGUUCUUAUAUUAUACCUGAUAAGAGAUUGCUGUAUGUAAGUAAUGAAAUAGAUAUUUGGUUUCUGCUUGGACUGUUGUUAUAGUGUUAUAAGCAGCCUUC